AGCGUGUUGGCAUUUACUUCCUUUCUCAGCUUAAAAACUCUCUCUUCUGAAGCAGAUCAACAGGAUCCAAAGAAACAGCUUAUCCAUUUCGGUUGGGAAAAGUUUCCUGGGAAUUAAACUGACUGAGGAAGAAGCUAGCUGGUGGCAGCAGGUCCUCAGGUUGGAUCAGCAGCCCUGCAGUUGAUUGAAUUGUCCUCCCUCCCUGGAGACCAAGUUGCGGCAGAAGCCAUCUGGAAGAGACUUCACACUGUGAUUCUAGCCACUCCAACAGCUAUCAAAAUGCCUGAA